rnacentral:lncRNA from 1 species
AAGGUGACACCACUUAACAACAAGCAUAGGAAAGCCGCAUAAAUGAAUUUCCCAGGUCACAACUUAUAUACAUGCACUUAUUCCAAACAAUUACAAGUGACGGACGUUCGUCCCAGUAGCAACAAAUUACGGGUAUAUGCCCCAAUAGAAACGAACAAGAGGCGAACAACUCAAUCCUCUAUCUUGAAUACUAGACUGGGAGCUUGGGGGGAAACUAUUCCUAAACUGCACUCAGACCCAAUUCGCAAUAGUUAUUGGUUUUUAUCCCAAUCCAAUGAAGACCAAACUCAAGGCAUGUCGUACCGCCAAACUCGUCUGAGGUGUCAAAUUUGAGCCCCAUCCAUCAAUCGGCUACCUCCAUUUCGCGUUUGAUUCCCAGUACCAGAAUAAUUGUCGCCACAUCACUAGUCCCCUGAGAAUCCCUAUAAAAAGGUUCUUGUACCUAAA